rnacentral:rRNA from 1 species
UACGAAGGGGGCUAGCGUUGCUCGGAAUCACUGGGCGUAAAGGGUGCGUAGGCGGGUCUUUAAGUCAGGGGUGAAAUCCUGGAGCUCAACUCCAGAACUGCCUUUGAUACUGAAGAUCUUGAGUUCGGGAGAGGUGAGUGGAACUGCGAGUGUAGAGGUGAAAUUCGUAGAUAUUCGCAAGAACACCAGUGGCGAAGGCGGCUCACUGGCCCGACUACUGACGCUGAGGCACGAAGCGUGGGAGCAAACAGG